rnacentral:lncRNA from 1 species
UGACGAGUGUUUUGUUUUCAUUUCAGGCAGAGUUGGCCACCACACAAAAAAAAUGAAGUAAGUGUAGUCUCAAAGCACAUAUUUAAAAUAUAUGGACUCCAAUGAAAUUAAGUGCCUGUAUUAACUAAUCAUUCUGGACGAGGUAAACUUGUUUCUUUUAUCAGUUGUAAAGAACACUCCUGGAUCUUUUGCAGCACAUGGGGUGUUUUUAAGCAUUUCUUCUGUGUCAAGCUCAUAUUCCCUUAGUACUUCAUCUUAGAUAAGGGAAGAAUAAAACCAGAUUAUUUUUUUUUAUACAUAGAACAUGAGAGAAGAGAUUUUGCUUACACUAAACCUGGGGCUUUGGGGGAUUUUGUUCAGCUUAAGGUGACCUGAAAGUUUCACUCUCAGAUAACUCUUGAGAGCCUGCACUUGGAGGAAUGAGGAAAGUUCAUACCUGCUGAGAGUUUCUGAGUGCUUUGGGUCAAGAGCCAUUAUGGGACAUCCACCACAUUGCUUAUUUGUAAACAAUUAAUUAAUUAACGCAAGACCUUUAACAAUUACUUGGUGUUGCAAGUAUUGCAGUCCUUGUAUAACCAAAAUCCACCAACACCCUUGUUUUGUUCUGUAAAAUACUCCUAAGAACUCUGCUGUAAUAUGUUGCUAAUGUUUAUUUUCUUUUGGCUCCCCAGGAAGAAGAAGACACUGCACCCCAGAGGGCAGUGCCACAGCUGUGCCUGCCCCCCUACAGCUCCAGCUCCCUCCCAGCCAAACCUCUCAAACCUCCACCCAAGCCAGGAUCCAACAGCCUGCCUGGGGCAGAAAGUGCUAGAAACCUGUCUUCAACUGGCUCACUACCACCUCGCUUACAUCUAG